rnacentral:rRNA from 1 species
AUGGAAAGCUUGCUGCAUUGGGAUUUUGCCCCGGGCCUUGCCCUGGCAGACCAGUUGAGAAGGAAAUUUGGAUCCACGGUGCAUUUCUCUCCCUCCCGAGACGCCAAAGAGUUCUUUUUGGUCAUUUCCUUUUCCUCUGCCUCCUUUCAUCUGGAUGCUGAAACUGUGGGGAUUGCCUUGUAAUGCUGUCUUGGAGGGAUUUCCUCUGGCUUCAAGGUGUCUAAGAUUAAUGCUCGGUCCUUUCGCUUCUCUGUGGCUAAUAACAAAGUGGGACAUUUUGUCUAUGGUCUCAAGGACCGAGUUUGGCCUGAUUUUGUCUGCCAUUUUCACUUGUUCAAUGGACAUUUUUCUAAAGCUCAUUCUCUCGAUCGUCAUUGGCAUGUUGAUACUGAGUUGGUUGAUAUCGUGGAUCUGAAACCCAUUGCUCUCAGAUCCUCCUUGAAGUUUCUUAAUCCCAAUAGAGAGUUGGAUCAUUCUUCUGCGAAAGUUAUUAGCAAAUUUGGGCUUAUUAAGUUGGAUAAAUGGUAUUUCUCAAACAAAAAUGCCCAUGAAGCUUCUUCAUCUAUAGCUUAG